GACGAACGCUGGCGGCGUGGAUUAGGCAUGCAAGUCGAACGGUAUCAUCCUUUCGGGGGUGAGAGAGUGGCGAACUGGUGAGUAACACGUAGGUUAUCUACCCUCAAGACGGGGACAACCCAGGGAAACUUGGGCUAAUACCGGAUGUGAGCAACUUUUAGUUAUUUGAAAGGUGGCGUAAGCUGUCGCUUGGGGAUGAGCCUGCGUCCUAUUAGUUAGUUGGUGAGGUAACGGCUCACCUAGGCAAUGAUAGGUAGGCGGCCUUAACGGGUGGUCGCCCACACUGGGAUUGAGAUACGGCCCAGACUCCUACGGGAGGCAGCAGUCGAGAAUAGUCUACAAUGGUCGGAAGACUGAUAGUGCGACGCCGCGUGAACGAUGAAUCCCUUCGGGGUGUAAAGUUCUUUUAUAUGUGAGCAGUGCUUCUUAUAUUAACAGUAUGGGGAGAGAGAUAUUAGCAUAUGAAUAAGCAACGGCUAACUCCGUGCCAGCAGCCGCGGUAAAACGU
rnacentral:rRNA from 1 species